CCUGUUUGGAGAAAAAGGCUUUGAAGUUAAAAAAAGAUCAUCGACAAAAAUGUGAAGAAGUUGAUUAGCUUCGGAUGGAUUUGGAUAGAACUAACAAGGACAGAGAUGACUUGGUCGCCAAGGUCAACACGCCUGGUCAACAUUCAUUGCAUAUGGAUGAAAUCCAGAACAACUUUGCUGAUGCUCAUCCAUCAUUGACUCA